rnacentral:lncRNA from 1 species
GUAGGUUCUGUAAUUAUCCUCAUUUUACCAAUGAGAAAAACUGAGUCUCAGAGGGCAAUUUGACUGAAGCCACGUGGCUGCAAGUGUAGAGAAAGAAUCUGAACCCAGACAAUCUGGCUUCAGAGCUCAGCUGGCCUCCUUAUCCUGGUUUGGCCCUUUAAAUCCAGUUUGGUUGUGGGAAACUGAGAGACCUCCAGGGCAUUCCUCACAUAGGGUGAGUUGAGUUUGGGCCUCCAAGUAGACUUUGGCCUGGAAGCCAAGAUGUUACUGAGGAAAAUAAACAAUAGCUAUUUCAGGUGACAGGUGCUGGGCUGUGGAAUUGUGCGGGGGGAAAUGUCAAGCUGCAAGGGUUUCCUCAUUGUAAAUUUUUGUAUGUUCAGCAGAACAAGCGUCAUCAGAAAGCUGCUCUGUUGCCAGCGUCGCCCCUGGAGACAGAGGGCAGGAGCAGGAAGUGUCCUUUCUCUGUGACCGCAGGUGAGGAGGCUGUUGCUCACAGAGGACAGGUGACUCAGCCAGAGCCACAGAGUCAGGAUUUCAAUCCAGGGCUGCUGGAUUACAGAGCCCAGUCUCUGAAUCACCAGCCUUUCUGACUCCUGCAGAAGAGGGCUAUGUUUGUGUCCAUGCAUGUGCCUACGUAUCUUUGACUGAGAGAUGUGAAUGACAGUUUCCCUUCCCAGUUCCACAUACUCCAUGACUAGUUUCACUCUCAGAGGAGGAUUUUGUUCUUCAAUUGUGGAGUGAUCUCUAUCACCAGUGACUAAAGAUGUUGGAGCACAGAGAGCCAUACCCCAAAAUAUGAUGCUUCGGCAUGCUGACUGCUUUGAAAAUUGAAAGGCCUCAGAAAUAAUCCUCAGUGCCAGGGUCUCCCUCUGACCUCCCCCUACCUCCCUUUCUCUCUGAUCCUGUCUCUCCCAAAGCACAGAAUGAAGCUGUUCUCUGAAUUCCCUUAUCUACCUAGAAACUGGACCCCCAAAGAGGAACACAAUUUGCCUUUGAUCCCUUCCCUGAAAUUUCAUUAACCAGAGAAAAUUAAAACUUCUAUCACAAAGGAAGAGACUGAACAUUAAACACCAUAGCUACAGCCCAGACAAACUUCUUCCCAAACCAUUGUUUGUUCUCCUGCCUGUUAAAUUGCCAGAGAAUCAUUCACAAGAUAAAGUCUGCCUUCUGGGUCCAUUCAUUCCCCACUAAAAAUCUUUUACUCCUACACCCUCAUGUCUCCUUCCUCCAUGAAGAAGGGUCUAUAAACCUCUAGGCCUCAUUGGGUUAUUGGGUAAUCAUUCUCAUGCAGUUCCCCUGUGCUCUGCAUGUUAAAUAAAUUUGUAUGCCUUUUUCUCCUACCUGCCUUUUGUCAUUUUCAGUGAACCUUCAGAAGGUAAAGGCAGAAGCUUUCCUUCUUUGCCCCUAUAGUGUCAACAACAGCCAGCCAGGCAAAGGGUUUCAGAAACCCAAGUGGGAUUAAGAUGAUUAGCCACAUGGCUCUAUUCUACAAACUAGUGGUCAGAAUAACAAGCGUUUGCUUAUUAGGAGGUCGAGGUGGGAGAA